UUUUAUUCUGGACAUUUUUGACCAAUUUGGUUGACUUCCCUUUUAAAUUAAUUAAAGUAUUACAUAAAGAAACAGGUUCCUUACCAUCUUCAACAUACGAUUUUUGUAGCAAAGCCAUCUGAAUAGUUGUUUAUACACAAAUAUGUAUAUGUAACACUCAUUCCUUAUUCUGUGUACAUGUACUUCUGCGUUUCUAUUAAACAGACUUGUUAACUCUUCAAAUUUCAAUAUGUGAUGAGGAUCAAUUACGCAGUAUUCAAGGGUGAUUUAAAUUGAUGUUUGUCAAUGAGAGAUGGACGAAGAUUAUUUACCAAUUUCAUAUUGUAAUCAUAUUUACACAUUCCCUUACCAUACUUGUAAAAUGCUUUUUCCAUAUUUGUAUAUCUUUAUUAAUAUAUAAUACAAGAAUUUGAAUGGGGAGAUUAUUCAGCCUAAAAAUAUUGUUAUGGUAUCAGAGCCUACCUCUGAGAUCGCUGAAUCAUGGGCUCCCUUUGUUGGUCACUAAGUCUCAUGUGGUGGCAUCUUGAGUUCUGGAAUCGAGAAGAACGGUAUCUGACUUCCUUCACAGGUGGGAGUCGAUUCUCUGUAGGUGGUCGAAGUUGAGUAUGAGAUUCUCUGGCGUUUCUGUGUGUGCGGCGUUUUCAUGUGUAAAGCAUUGUUGUGGUUCCUGUGUGUGCAAUCGGCAUGGGAGAUUACCUGUCCAGUUAUUGGCAUCUCCAUCUGUGUGUGCAACGAUCGACGAUGGCUCUCGUUUUGUGUCUCCGGUGAUCGACGCGCUUCUAUAGGAUUGCGUUUUCGUGGUCGGUGUGAAGCAGUGUGGGUUUGGUUGUAAUUUUAGGUUUUAUUAACUGGGCCUGAUCCAUUAGGUAUGUGGGUUUGGGUAUGGGCUCCAUAACUGAAUUGGGCAUCUUGGAGUAGAUUGUGUGGUUAUAAAUUGAAGUGGGCUGUGGACAAUUAUUUUGAUUUAUACAUGGGCUGUUGUUCAAAGUGGGCUUUGAUUAGGGUAUUUUGUGGACGGAGGUUAAAAUAUUUUGUGAUUUUCUAACAUUGAGAAGUCAUGCCGAUCGAGGCAUUUUGUGUUAAGUUUACUGGAAAGAAUUAUCCUAUAUGGAAAUUUCAAUUCAAGAUGAUCUUAAAAGGGAAGGAGCUUUGGGGGCAAAGGAUGCUAGAAUUAUUUCCUGGAUUGUGGGAUCUAUGGAGGCGCACAUGGUGAAUAAUUUACACUCCUUUACUACUGUAAAGGAAAUGUGGGAAUAUUUAAAGCACAUUUAUUAUCAAGACAAUAAUGCUUGAAAAUUCUAGCUGGAGUUAGAGAUUGCUAAUUACACUCAGGGUAAUCUUACUAUUGAGCAGUAUUACUCUGGCUUUUUUAACUUAUGGAGUGAGUAUUCCCGCAUAAUUCAUGCUAAGGUUCCUGUGACGACAUUAUCAGCACUACAAGAUGUUUAGGAAGUUAGUAAGCGAGAUUAGUUCUUGAUGAAACUAUGACCCGAAUUUGAAGUGGUUUGAGCAGGCUUAUUGAAUCGUGAUCCAGUUCCUCCAUUGGAUUUUUUUUUGGGUAAACUUUUGCAUGUAGAGUAACGAUUGGCUACUUAAGCUACGGUGGGAGCUGAUAUUUCCUCACCCGAUGUGGUCAAUGUUGCAUAUGUUGCCCAAGGACGAGGGAAGAGUAAACUUCAGUGUUUUCAUUGCAAAGGAUACGAUUAUAUUACUCGUAACUAUCCUCAGACAAUUUGCAAUUAUUGUAAGGAACCAGGGAAAAUCAUCAAGGACUGUCCCACACGACCUCCAUAUCAGAAAGCUAAAGCAUUUCAGGUUGACAUUCGAGGUACUACUCCAAGACCUUCACAGACUAGCACCAGUCAACCUCUACUUACCCCAGAAAUAGUUCAGCAGAUGAUUGCUUCCACCUUCUCUGCCUUGGGGUUACAAGGUAAGGGUUCAGUUGUUUCUUCACCUUGGUUUGUUGACUCAGGAGCAUCAUACCACAUGACAGGUAGUUCUGGUUCAUUGAAUAAUAGCUCACAACAUAUUCAAAUCGCUAAUGACAGUACCUUUCCUAUUACUGUUGGUGGUGAUCUUGGGUCUCGGUUUGAUAAUGUUUUUGUAUCUUCGAACUUAUCUAUAAACUUGAUUUCGGUUGGUCAAUUGGUUGAUAAUAACUGUGAUAUAUGUAUUUCUUGUGUUGGUUAUCUUGUACAGGAUCAGGCGUCGAGGAAGGCAGUUUACUAUUCCUCACGCUAUGUCUUUGGCUUGUAUUAGUUUUUGACUCAAGCAUGAGAUUUGGCAUAAAAGAUUAGGGCAUCCAAACACUUUAAUUUUGUCUCAUUUGUUGAAAUGUGGUUUCCUUGUUAAUAAAGAUUAGUUUCAAUUUCCAAUUUAAAUUUUGAUUGUGAUACUUGUAAACUUGGGAAAAGUAAGACUCUUCCAUUUCCUACCCAUGGCAAUCAUGUUGAUAAAUGCUUUAAGAUUAUUCAUAGUGAUGUUUAGGGUAUCACGCCUGUUACUUCACAUGCUCAAUAUAAAUAUUUUGUGACGUUUAUUGAUGAUUUUAGUCGCUACACUUCGAUAUAUUUUCUUCGUUCUAAGAGUGAGGUUAGUACCACUCUUAGAACUUUUGUAGCUUACAUUAAGACACAGUUUUCUACCAACAUUCAUAUUUUAUGGUCUAAAAAUGGGGGAGAAUAUAUGUCUCAUGAUUGUCAAAACUUCUUAUAACAAAAAUGUAUUAUCUCUCAACGUUCUUUUCCAUAUGCUCUACAACAAAAUGGGGUAGUCGAAAGAAAGAAUCGGCACUUGUUAGAUGUUGUUCGAGUUUUGCUUUUGGAAUCAUUAGUUCCACCUAAAUUUUGGGUUGAAGCCCUAUCCACAGUCGUAUACCUAAUUAAUUGACUUCCUUCUCAAUAUUUGAAUUUUGACUCGUCUUAUUUUCGCUUAUACAGUACACAUCCUAGUUAUGAUAUGUUAAAUAAUUUUAGCUGUGUUUGCUUUGUUCAUCCGCCUCCUCAUAAACAUCAUAAACUUGCUGCUCAAUCUGUAAAAUGUGUUUUUAUGGGAUAUAGUAUUGCUCAGAAGGGCUUCGUUUGUUAUGAUGGUGUUGCUAACCGCUUCCUUAUAUCUCGCAAUGUGGUUUUCUUUGAGAAUCAGUAUUAUUUCCACCAGCAUGUCAUAUCCUCUUCUGAUUUGGCUCGGCUUAGUAUAUUUGAGGAUGACUCUCGUCCCAAUGAACGUUUUAAACCAGGUUUGGUCUAUUAAAGACGACAGUCUUCGGCCCUAUCGCCUCUUCCUGACCCUAAUCCCUCUCCAGGCUCUACUAAUCUUAUGCGGUCCACUCACACUGUUAAACGUCCCGAAAAGUAUGGUUUCUCUGCAACCUUAUCUCAUAUCACUGUUCCUACUUCUUAUUCUCAGGUAGUUACCCAACGUUGUUGAGAAAAAGUAAUGUAAGAGGAACUCCUGGCUCUUCAAGAGAAUCACACUUGGGAUAUUGUCUUUGUCCUCCUGGGGUCAAACCUAUUGAAUGUAAGUAGGUCUAUUCUAUUAAGCUACGCUCUGACGGUUCCUUAGAUCGAUAUAAAGCUCGGUUGGUGGCUCUUGGUAAUCACCAAGAAUAUGGAGUGGAUUAUGAGGAGAAUUUUGCUCCCGUUGUGAAAAUGACCACGGUUCGUACGAUUUUUACUAUAGCUGCCUCUAAAGGUUGGUCUAUGCGGUAGAUGGAUGUCAAAAUGCUUUUUUGCAUGGUGAUCUUCAGGAAGAGAUCUAUAUGUCUCCUCCACCAAGUCUCUUCUCCAAACCCUCUUUUGAGGUUUUUAAGCUAAAGUGUUCACUUUAUGGGCUGAAACAGGCUCCUCGUGCUUGGUUUGACAAGUUUCGUUCCACUCUCUUGGGAUUCUCAUUUACUCAGAGCCAGUAUGACUUAUCGCUCUUUAUCUCUGUCAGCGAGGUAGGUAUUGUGUUCCUUCUUAUCUAUGUGGAUGAUAUAGUUAUUACAUGGACAUACUUGGGAUUGAUAUCUCACCUUCAAAACCGACUUAAGGAGUCAUUUCAUAUGGAGGAUUUGGGAUAUUUACAAUACUUCUUAGGUCUAGAGGUGCUUUCAAGUCCGUCCGGGACUUAUCUACAUCAGCAUAAGUAUAUAGAGGAAUUGAUUGCAUUAGGUGGACUUCGGGAUGGUAAAGUUGUUGACACUUUUUUGGAGGUAAAUGUAAAGUAGAGCAAGGAGGAAGGGGAUCUUCUUUUUUAUCCCUCUUUAUAUCGUCAGCUAGUGGGAAGUUUGAACUAUCUUACAGUUAGGGGUGGGCGUGGGUUGGGUUGGUUUUUGCCCCAACCCAAACCCAACCCAACAUGGUCAGUUUGAUUGAAAUUCAACCCAACCCAACCCAUGCAAGGAUUGAAACCCAACCCAACCCAACCAAAUGUCGGUCGGGUUGGGUUGGUCGGUUCGGGACAAUCUAUCAACAAAUAUUAAAGUCACCAAAAUACUGAGAAAUCAUGAUCUAAACAUGCUCUUUGUAAUUAAAACACCACUGCCAUCAAGAGCACCAGCCAAAC
rnacentral:lncRNA from 1 species